UACGUAGGGGGCAAGCGUUGUCCGGAUUUACUGGGCGUAAAGAGCGCGCAGGCGGUCGGAUAAGUCGAAUGUGAAAGCCCCCGGCUCAACUGGGGAGGGUCAUUCGAUACUGUUCGACUCGAAGGCAGGAGAGGGAAGUGGAAUUCCCGGUGUAGUGGUGAAAUGCGUAGAUAUCGGGAGGAACACCAGUGGCGAAGGCGGCAUCCUGGACCGGUAUUGACGCUGAGGCGCGAAAGCCAGGGGAGCAAACGGG
rnacentral:rRNA from 1 species